GCGCCCAUAGCUCAAUUGGAUAGAGCGUUGGUCUCCGAAGCCAAAGGUUGCAAGUUCAAGUCUUGCUGGGCGCACCA
rnacentral:tRNA from 1 species